rnacentral:rRNA from 1 species
UACGGGAGGCAGCAGUGGGGAAUAUUGCACAAUGGGCGCAAGCCUGAUGCAGCCAUGCCGCGUGUAUGAAGAAGGCCUUCGGGUUGUAAAGUACUUUCAGCGGGGAGGAAGGCGAUGCGGUUAAUAACCGCGUCGAUUGACGUUACCCGCAGAAGAAGCACCGGCUAACUCCGUGCCAGCAGCCGCGGUAAUACGGAGGGUGCAAGCGUUAAUCGGAAUUACUGGGCGUAAAGCGCACGCAGGCGGUCUGUUAAGUCAGAUGUGAAAUCCCCGGGCUUAACCUGGGAACUGCAUUUUGAAACUGGCAGGCUUGAGUCUUGUAGAGGGGGUAGAAUUCCAGGUGUAGCGGUGAAAUGCGUAGAGAUCUGGAGGAAUACCGGUGGCGAAGGCGGCCCCUGGGACAAAGACUGACGCUCAGGUGCGAAAGCGUGGGGAGCAAACGAGGAUUAGAUACC